CGUCUAGGCGGCAUAGCAAGUCAGGUGUGAAAGCCCACGGCUCAACCGUGGAAUUGCACUUGAAACUGCUAAUCUUGAGUAUGGAAGAGGAAAGCGGAAUUCCUGGUGUAGCGGUGAAAUGCGUAGAUAUCAGGAAGAACACCGGUGGCGAAGGCGGCUUUCUGGUCCAAUACUGACGCUGAAGCGCGAAAGUGUGGGGAGCGAACAGGAUUAGAUACCCUGGUAGUCC
rnacentral:rRNA from 1 species